rnacentral:misc_RNA from 1 species
UCCGAUUUAACAUCGGCAGUCUCUCUAGAGUGCCCAACUUAAUGCUGGCAACUAAAGACAGGGGUUGCGCUCGUUAUGGGACUUAACCCGACAUCUCACGACACGAGCUGACGACAGCCAUGCAGCACCUCUGUAAAGUGCCCCGAAGGGAGAUCGUAUCUCUACGACUGUCACAAAACAUUCUAGCCUAGGUAAGGUUUUUCGCGUUGCAUCGAAUUGAACCACAUGCUCCACCGCUUGUGCGGGCCCCCGUCAAUUUCUUUGAGUUUUAAUCUUGCGACCGUACUUCCCAGGCGGAAUACUUAACGCGUUAGCUCCGGCACUGAAGGGGUCAAUACCUCCAACACCAAGUAUUCAUCGUUUACAGCGUGGACUAC